UUAGUGGUGGUCAUGAUUUGUCCUGACAAAAAUAAAUAUGUGGAUAUUGUUCUCCAUGAUUAUGGAAUUUUGUUCAUCAUGUUAAUCUUGGGGAUGUUCUCAAUGAUUUUGGAAUUUGGUUUCGAUCUAUGGAAGAUCAAUCACAAAUUUUUGGGAACAAAAACCAUAUUACAGGUAUGAUUUUUGGAAUUUGGUUUCGAUCUAUGGAAGAUCAAUCACAGGUAUGAUUUUUGUUAUUCGUAGUUUUAUUCCCUGAAGAAUCAAAUUUUUGUUUUUUAGUUCGUUAUUUGUAUCAAGAACCAGAUGUGUUUAAUCAUGGUAACCAAAUGUAUCAGGAAUCAAAUUGAGUCUUAGUGAACUUGAUUACUUGUUUCCCUGAAUCCCUCGGGAUGAUAAUUUGAUUCAUUAUGUGUUUAAAUUUUUGAAUAAUUUUUUAUGUGCAAUUUUUAAAAAACUCUGCUUCGGAGCUGGGAAUUGGUUUUUUAGUUUUUUCCAUGGUGAUCCUAGUUUUGACUUAAUUGCUUGGGGCCAUAGCAAUUUAAACCUGAUUGCUUAGCUCACACAUCAAUAUUUCAUCAUGGGACGUUGUUUCAGGUUAUUUAGAUUUAAUUGCCUUUUCAAAUCUGCAGUUACAAUCUUCUUAGAAUUGCUCGGUUCUUUUAGCCUUCCAUCUUCCUUUGUGAUAUAAGCUUUUUGCUUUCAAUACCCGUAAAUGUUUUGUAUGAUUAAUAUAACAACCGUUUCAUUUUCCACCCAUUAAUUGUCCUAGCAUUCAAAGAAUGAAACUGUGCAUCUUAUAUAACGGUCACCUGAUUUUCAAAGGCAAAUCACACUCAACCACCACAAUUCCCAGGGAUCUGCAUCCAUCUUCCAUUUAUUGAACUUUUCCGCUGCAGUGUUUCCAGGGAAAAAGGAGUACCAGCAACAUUUAAACAGAUUCAAGCUAUUUGCAACUUGCAAGUACUUCAAUCUGUUUAAUGCUUUUUGAAGUAAUAGUUGGUGGAGUCAGAAGGAUCAAUUUAUGUUAAUAAUGUGAGUUCAGUUCUAUCAUAUCUUCCAAAGCUCAUUUUUUAAGAGGGGCAAAAUAUUGCACGGUUAGUUAUCAUGCCAAGUUAUCAUAUUAUAUGGGAGUGAGAACAUUGCACAUCAAAUUCGAAAAUAAGAGAAAUAUUAGUUGUACCCCACUACAUGUUAGCUGUCAUCCAUUAUUUAAACAUCUAUAUAAAGAGAAAGUCAAAGAGAGAGAAAACAAAAUUUGUAUUACUAUCAUCUCCUUCUUCUACCUUCACCAACUUAGAACUCCAAAUACCAUUAAUGGAGUCCCAAUGUAAUCGAAAUGUAAUUUCAACAAUCAUAGUGAACCCUAACCCCGUGGAUGUAGAUCACAUUGAUCGAACCACGUAAAUUUUGUGUCUUAUUUUACAUUUCCAUCAUUUUUAUCUUUAUUUUUAUGUUAAAUAAGUUUAGAUCUAGAAAUUGUUAAAGGGGUGUUAGUUGUGGGAUUUCCUGCAACUAUAUUUUGGCGCUAGAAACACUGCUUGCUACUUGUUAGAUUGAAGAAGAUUCAAAGAAAUUACCUAUUGUUAGAGUUGAAUUAAAAGAAAUUAGCUACUGUGAGUGAUGGAUUCCACUGGAUCUGUAAGCACUAAGGGAAAAAGUGGAAAUUACAACCGAAGAGUUUACCACUAACAACAAAUCCGAGGAAAAGGAAACGAGAAAAUAAGAGAUGUGAAUGAAGAACAGCAGCUAGAGAUGAAAAAAGCUACAUAAACAACUCGUUUAAAAGGACAAAUUUCUUCAUCAUAUUUGUGAUAUUGUGUUCAAUUUUCAGAUCUGGGAAUUUUCAGCAAGACUUUUGGGAAAAACGUUUUAAACACAAAGACUUGGAAACCUGAUUACCUUUUGGUAUCGUAUAUCAAAAUAAGCUUUGACUACAGAUUUAAAACCAACAAAAAUCGCUUUGAAAACCCGUUUAACCGAUUUUCAAAAUCAAGGAGACCAAUAAUUCAAUUGAAUUUGGGAUUCCCCUUUUUUAAAAAAAAAACUCAAAUAUGUUUCUGAUUAUAGUCUCUAUUUUCUGAUAAUAAUUGCUAUUGCUAGUUAAAUUGAUUUGCUGCUUGAAGCUAUGAGGAAUUUGCUAACAAAAAUUAUCAGAAGCGAAAGCAUAAGGAAAAGGGAUGUUUCUCAGACGAACAGAAAAAGACAGAGAGAAGACAAAAAGAAGUAGCAGGCGAAGAUCAAAACACCAGGCGAAAAGCUUCGCAGAGGAAAAGAUACACAGGAGAUGGAAAACCAAUAGCAAGAAGAUGGGAAGUCAUCAGUUGGAAGGUGAAAUUGGCAGAACAUGCGAAGGAAACAACUUCUUCUUCGUGAAUAGCAACGCGAUGACAAUGCCAGCAUCACAUUACUUCGACAAAGAUCAAAUUCUAAGGGAGAAGCGUGAAGAUGAGUCAUACGAAGAUACCCGCACCCAGUGUACAUGUUCUACAGCAAAACGGAGAGGAUUCAACUAAGAAGCAUGAAGGAUUCACAACAAAUAUAAAAAGAUAUUCAAAGUGGCACCAACAAAUUCUCUGCGGGCGAAAAGAAGAGAUGGGCGUUAGAAUAAUAUUUUCUAUAUCUCAUGGUUGUUAUUUUGCAGUAUGUAGGGAGAUGUAUCUCUAAAAGAACGAAGGAAUCAAGACAAAAAACACCAAAGUAGUAAUGAAGCAGCAAUGAGGAAUCAUAAUCAUGUGAGGCAGGAAUGAAAAGAUCUCUGCACACGCGAAGACAAUAGUCACGCGAAGAGAAUGAUCACUGGAGCUUUGCGAAGAACAAUCAUUCUCAUCAUGAGGAGGAUGGAAUUAUCACCGGAUCAGACAAAUCGCACAAGACAAUUUGAAGAGAACUGGAUAAUGCGAUAAAUUCGCACAAGACAAUUCGAGUCAACACAGCACGAUAGCAGCAUGAAGGAUUAUCCAACAUGAAUUAAACCACCACGAUGGGAAGAGGUUUUAGUUUUGCAGGUGCGAAGGAGAAAGGAGAAAAAGAGUCUUACAGUGCGAAUAAAGUGAGAAGGAAGCUUAUGCGAAAAAAUAGAAUGAAGAAGUAAGCUUCAAAGACGCACCGGUGAAAGAAAAGAAGAAAGAUGCAUCUGAAAACGAAAGAAAAGGACGUGAAUCCUUAGCUAACAAGAAGAAAACAUUCAACAAAUCUUAGGACUCCAAAAAGUGUGCGAUAAUUUCGCAGGAUAACAACUAUUUUAGUCCUUCCCUGGAUUAAUUGAUUGUUUGCAGCAAACAUGGUUAUGAAUUUAGGAGGUGUUGAAAAUAGCAAAGACAACGCUCGUAAACGAAGAAGAGAGCAGCACACGAUAAAAACCCAGCAAACCAUGCGAACAGGAUAGAAGGGCGAUAACAUCCUAGAGAAACAAAGGAGAGGCAAUUAACUUCAAAAGAGAAGAUAGCAUAUGAAGUGUUAGAGCAUUGUUCGGUCGACCUCGCAUGCGUUGCUAUCUCAAGCAUGUUUGUCAAUGUU